AUCAGAAACAAUUUUAUACCCUUCCGGAAAAAUUCAACACAAAGAUGAACAUUGUCAAUAACAAAAUUUCAGCAUAGGGAUAACAGUUAUAUCAAUGACAUAAUGAGCAAAAUUAAUACAUGUUAUCUUAGAUGAACAAAUCAAGAAUUUACCCAAUCAAUAUAACAUAUCGGUACAAAAUGAAACUUGAAAUGCAGACCUUACGCAGCUGCAAAUUUCUUCAAAACUUGACUGCAUACAGAGCCUCUAACAAACUAAAACUCGAAAAUUAAAACGGAACAAACAGACGGAGCUUCGGACCUUUAUGAACGAACAUCUGUUUAAACUCCACUCAGUUUCGGAAGCUAAGACCAAAAGAAUAGCUAGAAUUUUCAUUGCAUUUUCGUGUUUGAAAUCAUAACUGAAGCUAAAAAUCGGUUGUCCCUUAGUAUCGAUGAACUAAUAUGAAAUCAAAAAAGUAACAAUCUUAAUCAAAAAACAAAAGCUUCGAAUCCCUUGUUCAAUUUUCGUCACUCGCUAUAAAUCUGGCAGCAAUGAGCAACAUAUACGGGUUUCAAUGAGUGAGGGUGGCUGCUUUGGUGUCUCAGGCGAAGGGGCGUUGCAAGGGAAACAUGAAGAAGAAGCGGAUCAGAAGUGGUCGUUGGGUGGGUAACGUGAGGGUGGCUACCGUCGAUUUCUCUAUUGAAAAGGGAGAUCCAAAAGUGGAAAAUCGUUGGUCUGUUAUCUCUGUCAAAGAAGAAGAGAUCACGGUCUCUAGCUCUCUACAGGUGUUUUGGGUCUCAUGGAGAAGGCUGCUUUGAAGAAGAACGGUGGAGGGUUCGUUUAUGUGAGAAGCUGCGCCGAUCCUCUUGUGUACCAGAAGAGAGAACGUUGGGGGGAUCUUACUGCACUGUAGCGGUUCUAGCUCUCUACAGAUCCUCCUUCCUUUAGGUCCAAAAUCCAAAUUAGGUCACAUUAAGGAGAGAGAUCCAGGUCGGGUC
rnacentral:lncRNA from 1 species